GGAGGGGGCUAGCGUUGUUCGGAAUUACUGGGCGUAAAGCGCGCGUAGGCGGGCUGGUCAGUUGGGGGUGAAAUCCCGAGGCUCAACCUCGGAACUGCCCCCAAUACUACCAGUCUUGAGUUCGAGAGAGGUGAGUGGAAUUCCUAGUGUAGAGGUGAAAUUCGUAGAUAUUAGGAAGAACACCAGUGGCGAAGGCGGCUCACUGGCUCGAUACUGACGCUGAGGCGCGAAAGCGUGGGGAGCAAACAGGGAUUAGAUACCCUGGUAGUCCACGCCGUAAACGAUGGGUGCUAGUUGUCGGGCGGCAUGCCGUUCGGUGACGCAGCUAACGCGUUAAGCACCCCGCCUGGGGACUACGGUCGCAAGACUA
rnacentral:rRNA from 1 species